CUCUCUCUCUCGCUCAAAGUCCAGACUCCAAAGAGUCCAAACCCUUUUCCCCGAUUCCCUAGCUCUCCAUCUCUCUCUCUCUGGCCCAAAGUGUUAAACGGAAACCCUAGCUCUUGAUCUCUCUCUCUUGCCCAAAGUCCAGACCAAAGUCUUCUCUCUUCUCUUCUCUUAUAUGUCUAACUUCUCUCUCUCUCUGCUCUCUUUAUUCUUUCCGUCUCCUUCUCUCUCUCAACCGAGCGCCGAAACCACAACCAUCGCCGUCGGUGCUAUCAGAGGCCACUGUCCACAGAAGACAGAAGCCUUUUUGCUACUCUUGAUCUGGGUCUAUGGGAAUAGCUUUAAGUCAAUGUUGGUUGCAGUAGUUGUACCACAUGAAGAAAACACCAAAAAGUGGGCAUAUUCAAAUGGUCACAUGAGUUCAUUCACUGAACUCUAUUCCCUUGAUCAGUUCAAGAAUUAUGUGCUAUCUGAACUGAAGUCUAUUGCCGAUAGAAACAAGGUAAUAUCUGCUUCAAAUUUAAAAAAAAAAAUAUCCAGAGACUCUCAAUAGAAUAGAUCUGUCUACUAUUGUGUGCCAAACUUUAAAGAAGCUACCUUUAUAAUUAUAAACUUUUGAUUACUUAUAUUGUGUAUUACAAAGCAGUGUUGUUCAGUCUGAUAAGAUGGUUAAUCUAUUCACAGAAUCACAAUAGGUAUUAGAUAUUAUCAAACAACAUAGUUUGUUUGAUUCAACAUGUGCAGGUAAAAAUAUAUUGAAUGUGGUAAUCUCUUGUGGUUUUAACUUAUUCUUUUUUCUGUAUUCAGAUAUGGAUCCUAACAAAGAGCCACAGUUGAAAUACAAGAAUGCAAAUUGCUGAUGGAAGAACAUGUUACUGAUUUAUAAUUCAUUUAUUGUAAUUUUAUAUUUUGUAAUGUAAUGUAAUGUAUAAAUACCAAAUAAUGUAAUAUGUAGUGAAUUGCAUUGUGUUGCAUGCAA